rnacentral:rRNA from 1 species
UUUCAACAACGGAUCUCUUGGUUCUGGCAUCGAUGAAGAACGCAGCGAAAUGCGAUAAGUAAUGUGAAUUGCAGAAUUCAGUGAAUCAUCGAAUCUUUGAACGCACAUUGCGCCCGCCAGUAUUCUGGCGGGCAUGCCUGUUCGAGCGUCA